rnacentral:rRNA from 1 species
UACGGGGGGGGCAAGCGUUGUUCGGAAUUACUGGGCGUAAAGGGCUCGUAGGCGGCCAACUAAGUCAGACGUGAAAUCCCCAGGCUUAACCUGGGAACUGCGUCUGAUACUGGAUGGCUUGAAUUCGGGAGAGGGAUGCAGAAUUCCAGGUGUAGCGGUGAAAUGCGUAGAUAUCUGGAGGAGCACCGGUGGCGAAGGCGGCGAUCUGGCCCAACAUUGACACUGAGACCCGAAAGCGCGGGGAUCAAACAGG